rnacentral:tRNA from 1 species
CGGAAUAUAGCUCAGCCUGGUAGAGUGUCUGCUUCGGGAGCAGAAGGCCGUGGGUUCGAAUCCCGCUAUUCCGA